UAAGGAAUAUUGGUCAAUGGACGCAAGUCUGAACUAGCUAUGCCGCGUGAAGGAUGAAGGUCCUCUGGAUUGUAAACUUCUUUUAUCUGGGACGAAAAAGGGGCAUUCUUGCUCAACUGACGGUACCAGAGGAAUAAGCACCGGCUAACUCCGUG
rnacentral:rRNA from 1 species